rnacentral:rRNA from 1 species
GUGCACCAGGCGCGAAACUUCACACUGUGCGAAAGCACGAUGAGGGAAUCCCAAGUGCUUGCACGUAAGUGUAAGCUGUUUCUCUGUUUAAAACGCAGAGAGAGUAAGGGCUGGGUAAGACGGGUGCCAGCCGCCGCGGUAAUACCUGCAGCUCAAGUGGUGACCGUUAUAUUGGGCCUAAAACGUCCGUAGCCGGUUUAAUAAAUGCCUGGGUAAAUCGUGUAGCUUAACUAUACGAAUUCCGGGUAGACUGUUAAACUCGAGACCGGGAGAAGUUAGAGGUACUCCUGGGGUAGAGGUGAAAUUCUGUAAUCCUAGGGGGACCACCAGUGGCGAAGGCGUCUAACUAGAACGGGUCUGACGGUGAGGGACGAAGCCCUGGGGCGCAAAACGGGGA